GACGAACGCUGGCGGCGUGCUUAACACAUGCAAGUCGAGCGGUAAGGCCCUUUCGGGGGUACACGAGCGGCGAACGGGUGAGUAACACGUGGGUGACCUGCCCUCAGCUCUGGGAUAAGCCUGGGAAACCGGGUCUAAUACCGGAUAUGACUCCAUGACGCAUGUUGUGGGGUGGAAAGCCUUGUGCGGCUGAGGAUGGGCCCGCGGCCUAUCAGCUUGUUGGUGGGGUGAUGGCCUACCAAGGCGACGACGGGUAGCCGGCCUGAGAGGGCGACCGGCCACACUGGGACUGAGACGCGGCCCAGACUCCUACGGGAGGCAGCAGUGGGGAAUCUUGCGCAAUGGGCGAAAGCCUGACGCAGCGACGCCGCGUGAGGGAUGACGGCCUCGGU
rnacentral:rRNA from 1 species